GUUGCACACGGUUUAAUUGUCCGGGCCUGUGUGUGUAAAAGAAAACGAGUCUCUCAGACCCUCAUUAGCCUCUGUCGAUUCAUUUUUCUCUUCCUCUUCCUCUUCCCUUCUCUCACUUCGUUUUCCCUUUUUGCUUGAAGUUGAACAGGGUUUCAUCCUUUUAGGGUUCGUGUAAAAUCAUCCAAGAUUCCAUUGAGAGUUUAAAUAUCAGGAAAACAACGAAAUCAAUUGAGGAACAAGUAAAAGAUAAACAUUUUUUAGAACUUGGGUGAACCGACUGGCCUAGCUACCAAAAUUAUCAAAGCUAUGUUUGCGAAAGUGGAUCUACAAGUCUCUAACCUCAGUUUCAGCAUGGUCACUACAGUGCGUGAGUUAGCUAAGCGUUUUCUUGAUUUAUUUAUUUUCGCUUAAAGGCAACAUCUGUCCAUAUUAUACCUAUUUUCUUCAUACAGAUAGGGGAGAUCGUGGUGCCACGACAAAUUCAGUAGUGUUUAAGCUUAGAAAAUUGAAGUCCAAGCAAGCCUCCAUUAUCUUAAAAUAUAAAGGAUGAAACCAUUAUAAGAACUGUAAAUAUAAUUCCUCACAAGAACACUGUGUUGUAUUCUAGGCAUUAAUAUACAAUACUCUCAAGUACUUAUCCCACUAUCUUCCAUAUAACACCGUUGUCAUUUUGUUUUUGUUUAUACUUGACACUCGGUAAUUAACACUGCUAUUUUUUAAGACUCCACAAGUUUUGUUAAAUGACCUUUCUUUUCAAUAUCUUUAGCAUGUUUCAAGUUAUCUGUGUUGAGAAACUUAUUCUGUAAUUCUUCCUGAUAUAAGAGCACCUACUUCUGAUUUUCAUGAAAACUCUCCACCAACCAAUGCACAAAGUCCAACAACAACCCUUUAAAGGUUCGCAAGAUUCUAUAAUGAGAACCCCUCCUAUCCUACAGAACGAUGAAUGGGCAAUUGUAUGAAUUCCGUUGAAUCCUUCACAAAUACAGCCAAUACAAAAUUCAGCACCUCCACUACUUGCACCUUCAAUGACGUCUGGAGCUUCCACCUAUGUUUCCAGUGAAAAGUUCAAGACACACAACCGCCUCCAAUGACGUUGCAGCCAGUACAAAAUUCAAUACCUCCUCAAACUUUCCUAGAACUCAUCACGACCCUUUGUAUUGCCGAUACAAAAUUUACCAGUGCCUCCACCAAUGUUUAUGAUACAAAAUUCAUCACUGUCACUGACGUCGCCAGCAUGCAUUCAAGCACCACCACCAAUGCCCCAUUAAGUGUUUUUACCCUUCGAACCAGCAGUACCUAUCAUACAUUAACGUUGUUGUUCCAAACUCAAAUACGAUCUUACAGUAAGGAAACCAAAAGGAAGAUGCAUUCUUCUAUCUUCUCCAAGUCGGUGCAGCUUCCUGAGUAUCUAAAUUGGAUCAAGGAUGAGUAAACUGAGGGGGCAUGUGAAUGUGUCAAAAUAAGGCAAACUCCGAGACUUCACCUCCAAAAAUGACUCCAGGCGCAUAAAACCGAUUUUGCAAUGCGCUUGCUCCAAUUCAGGAAUAAAUCCAGGGCUGAAGUGAAGCACAACGCCUCCUUGAUAUGCACGUAUGUCGUUUCAUUGUUGUGGUGAUGAAUGCUAUAAACGCUUCAUUCAUUCAAUGCAUUUUUCAGACGAUAACAGGGGAGAUGGAAUCCAUUUGUUUCUCAUACCAUUGGAAGAAAUCUAUGCCGCCUUACUCUAUGGGGAUUAGAGAGAUCCGAGCCUAGGAAUUUUUUUCUGGUGUGAUGUAAUGUUGGAACUUCUCACAGUAGGAGACGGAAGUCCUACGACAGGAUCAAGGCCAAGCCAGAGCUCAGGGGGCAUUCAUAUCAUGAAUUAAGGGAUGAGAUUCCAACGUUGAAUGUGUUUAAUACAAAGAAACAACUGACAACUGACCCCCUAGAUUCGCAGUUAACAGAUCAACCACCAUGUUCUUAGUCACGUCUGGGUCUGAUAUCCCGGUCGAUACGUACGUAAAGAAAUAUGUAUACAAUUGUCUUACCCUAUGACUAUAAACAAGUGACAGGGAUAGUCGGUUAAGUAUAUCAGUUGUAGGAUAAUGGUUUCCAACCAUGGCCAUCUUUAGAUACACAACAGCCCGAAUAAUGAGGUUGCUGAAGCCAAGAAACAAAAUCCAAGAAAUGACCCUAAAUGUGGUAUAUCCUGAAGUACUAUUACGAGGUAAGUUGGAAUUGGGAAAUAACUACUCCCUCCGUUACUUUUUAAUAGGCUGAUUUGGUUUUUAGAGAAAAUUAAGGAAAUUAAGUGAAGUAAUCAUUGAAAGUGGUCCUCACGACACUUGUCAAUAAAAGAAGUGAAGUGAAGUGGUCCUCAUGACACUUGUCAAUAAAAGAAGUGAAGUGGAAUGGUCCCCCAUGACACUUGUCAUCAAAAGAAGUGAACUGCAAGUGGUCCCAAAAAAUUAAAGUAACAUUUGACUUUCCCAAUUUAGAAACUGGCCUAUUUUUUUGAAAUUUUUAUUUAUAGAAACUGGCCUAUUAAAAAGUAACGGAGGGAGUACAUUAUAGUGCACUAACACCAAAAUGUAUACUUUAAUGAAUCUAAUCAGCAGUGUGAUGGGAGAAUCAAAAAGGUAACCCAGACGGCACUAAAGACUAUGAAUAUGCAUUUUCGUGAACAAACUAUUUGUUAUUCUGUAUGUAGCAGGUUGCUUAGGCUAAAGCUUCAGCUAAACCAAUAAUUAAUUUUCACUAUAUUUGUUGUCUUUGGAGA